rnacentral:rRNA from 1 species
GACGAACGCUGGCGGCGUGCUUAACACAUGCAAGUCGAACGGAAAGGCCCUGCUUUUGUGGGGUGCUCGAGUGGCGAACGGGUGAGUAACACGUGAGUAACCUGCCCUUGACUUUGGGAUAACUUCAGGAAACUGGGGCUAAUACCGGAUAGGAGCUCCUGCUGCAUGGUGGGGGUUGGAAAGUUUCGGCGGUUGGGGAGGGACUCGCGGCUUAUCAGCUUGUUGGUGGGGUAGUGGCUCACCAAGGCUUUGACGGGUAGCCGGCCUGAGAGGGUGGCCGGCCACAUUGGGACUGAGAUACGGCCCAGCCUCCUACGGGAGGCAGCAGUGGGGAAUAUUGCACAAUGGGCGGAAGCCUGAUGCAGCAACGCCGCGUGCGGGAUGACGGCCUUCGGGUUGUAAACCGCUUUCGCCUGUGACGAAGCGUGAGUGACGGUAAUGGGUAAAGAAGCACCGGCUAACUACGUG